GACGAACGCUGGCGGCGUGCUUAACACAUGCAAGUCGAACGAAGAGCGAUGGAAUCUUGCUUCUAUCAAUCUUAGUGGCGAACGGGUGAGUAACGCGUAAUCAACCUGCCCUUCAGAGGGGGACAACAGUUGGAAACGACUGCUAAUACCGCAUACGAUCCAAUCUCGGCAUCGGGACUGGAUGAAAGGUGGCCUCUAUUUAUAAGCUAUCACUGAAGGAGGGGAUUGCGUCUGUUUCGCUAGUUGGAGGGGUAACGGACCACCAAGGCGAGGAUCAGUAGCAGGACGGAGAGGAUGAACGGCCACAUUGGGACGGAGACACGGCCCAGACUCCUACGGGAGGCAGCAGUGGGGAAUCUUCCGCAAUGGACGAAAGUCUGACGGAGCAACGCCGAGGGAGUGAUGACGGCCUUCGGGUUGGAAAGCUCUGUUAUUCGGGACGAAUGGUUCUUGUGCGAAUAGGGCGAGGAUUUGACGGUACCGGAAUAGAAAGCCACGGCUAACUACGUG
rnacentral:rRNA from 1 species